GACAGGUGCUGCAUGGCUGUCGUCAGCUCGUGUCGUGAGAUGUUGGGUUAAGUCCCGCAACGAGCGCAACCCUCGCCCUUAGUUGCCAUCAUUCAGUUGGGCACUCUAGGGGGACUGCCGGUGAUAAGCCGCGAGGAAGGUGGGGAUGACGUCAAGUCCUCAUGGCCCUUACAGGCUGGGCUACACACGUGCUACAAUGGCGGUGACAAUGGGACGCGGAGGGGUGACCCCGAGCAAAUCUCAAAAAGCCGUCUCAGUUCGGAUUGCACUCUGCAACUCGAGUGCAUGAAGGUGGAAUCGCUAGUAAUCGCAGAUCAGCACGCUGCGGUGAAUACGUUCCCGGGCCUUGUACACACCGCCCGU
rnacentral:rRNA from 1 species